rnacentral:rRNA from 1 species
CGGCGGACGGGUGAGUAACGCGUGGGUAACCUGCCUCAUACAGGGGGAUAACAGUUAGAAAUGACUGCUAAUACCGCAUAAGCGCACAGGACCGCAUGGUCCGGUGUGAAAAACUCCGGUGGUACGAGAUGGACCUGCGUCUGAUUAGCUGGUUGGCGGGGUAACGGCCCACCAAGGCGACGAUCAGUAGCCGACCUGAGAGGGUGGCCGGCCACAUUGGGACUGAGACACGGCCCAAACUCCUACGGAAGGCAGCAG